UCCGAGUUGACCCCGGCAGUCUCCUAUGAGUCCCCACCAUAACGUGCUGGCAACAUGAGACAAGGGUUGCGCUCGUUGCGGGACUUAACCCAACAUCUCGCGACACGAGCUGACGACAGCCAUGCAGCACCUGUGUGUAGGUCCCGUAAGGGAAGGAAUCCAUCUCUGGAAACCGUCCUACCAUGUCAAACGCUGGUAAGGUUCUUCGCGUCGCAUCGAAUUAAGCCGCAUGCUCCGCCGCUUGUGCGGGCCCCCGUCAAUUCCUUUGAGUUUUAGCCUUGCGGCCGUACUCCCCAGGCGGGGUGCUUAAUGCGUUAGCUUCGGCACGGGGGGAGUCGACACCCCCCACACCUAGCACUCAUCGUUUACGGCGUGGACUAC
rnacentral:misc_RNA from 1 species